ACGGAGGGGGCGAGCGUUAUUCGGAAUUAUUGGGCGUAAAGGGCGCGUAGGCGGCUAUACAAGUCAAAGGUGAAAUCCCUCGGCUCAACUGAGGAACUGCCUUUGAAACUGUGUGGCUUGAGGCCGGGAGGGGGUAGCGGAAUUCCCAGUGUAGCGGUGAAAUGCGUAGAUAUUGGGAGGAACACCAGUGGCGAAGGCGGCCACCUGGUUGGAUACUGACGCUGAUACGCGAAAGCGUGGGGAGCAAACAGGA
rnacentral:rRNA from 1 species